rnacentral:misc_RNA from 1 species
GAUCGAUCGAUCGAACUUUUCAACCACAUCGCUGCCUAUGAUGUAUACUAGAUAACUAAGUAGAGUAGGUCAACGAUAAGCCCGACCGCCGCUGCCACAACGCCAGUAUCUAUCAGCCCGUCCACGGAGCUUCUUCAGUCUUCGAUCAAAUCGUUUUCUCGCGAGCCUCUCGGCGGCCAUUAUUUUCCCACAGACUUUAAAUAAACCUCGACUUAUCGGGGACUUCCGUAUUUCAUGUCGCGCCGCAAGGGAAAGCCUCUUUUCCCCUCGAAAACGAGAUUCCCAAGAAUUCCCAGGAUCAACGUCGCAACAAUAUUUUCUUCUUCUUCCCACAGAAAUUCAUAAACCGCAAACAAUAAAAGGACUCUAGAAAGAAGCAUAAUUUAGAACGUACUAUUCGAAAGCCUAAAGUUUCACCAAGGAAAAUUAUCAGAGUGAAGUUUCCUCUGGUUGU